CUGCAGUCACAGUGAAGUCUG
rnacentral:miRNA from 1 species